rnacentral:rRNA from 1 species
AGAGUUUGAUCCUGGCUCAGGACGAACGCUGGCGGCGUGCCUAACACAUGCAAGUCGAACGAAGCUCUGCGAUACAAGACUUCGGUCAAGUUGAACGGAUGACUUAGUGGCGGACGGGUGAGUAACGCGUGAGGAACCUGCCUUUCAGUGGGGGACAACAGUUGGAAACGACUGCUAAUACCGCAUAAUGUAUUCUGACCGCAUAAUCGGAAUACCAAAGAUUUAUUGCUGAAAGAUGGCCUCGCGUCUGAUUAGAUAGUUGGUGAGGUAACGGCCCACCAAGUCGACGAUCAGUAGCCGGACUGAGAGGUUGAACGGCCACAUUGGGACUGAGAUACGGCCCAGACUCCUACGGGAGGCAGCAGUAGGGAAUAUUGCACAAUGGGGGAAACCCUGAUGCAGCGACGCCGCGUGGAGGAAGAAGGUCUUCGGAUUGUAAACUCUUGUUGUUGAGGAAGAUAAUGACGGUACUCAACAAGGAAGUGACGGCUAACUACGUGCCAGCAGCCGCGGUAAAACGUAGGUCACAAGCGUUGUCCGGAAUUACUGGGUGUAAAGGGAGCGCAGGCGGGCGAUCAAGUUGGAAGUGAAAUCCAUGGGCUCAACCCAUGAACUGCUUUCAAAACUGGUCGUCUUGAGUAGUGCAGAGGUAGGCGGAAUUCCCGGUGUAGCGGUGGAAUGCGUAGAUAUCGGGAGGAACACCAGUGGCGAAGGCGGCCUACUGGGCACCAACUGACGCUGAGGCUCGAAAGUGUGGGUAGCAAACAGGAUUAGAUACCCUGGUAGUCCACACCGUAAACGAUGAUUACUAGGUGUUGGGAGAUUGACCCUCUCAGUGCCGCAGUUAACACAAUAAGUAAUCCACCUGGGGAGUACGACCGCAAGGUUGAAACUCAAAGGAAUUGACGGGGGCCCGCACAAGCAGUGGAGUAUGUGGUUUAAUUCGACGCAACGCGAAGAACCUUACCAAGUCUUGACAUCCCUUGACGAUGCUGGAAACAGUAUUUCUCUUCGGAGCAAGGAGACAGGUGGUGCAUGGUUGUCGUCAGCUCGUGUCGUGAGAUGUUGGGUUAAGUCCCGCAACGAGCGCAACCCUUAUGGUCAGUUACUACGCAAGAGGACUCUGGCCAGACUGCCGUUGACAAAACGGAGGAAGGUGGGGAUGACGUCAAAUCAUCAUGCCCUUUAUGACUUGGGCUACACACGUACUACAAUGGCGUUAAACAAAGAGAAGCAAGACCGCGAGGUGGAGCAAAACUCAGAAACAACGUCCCAGUUCGGACUGCAGGCUGCAACUCGCCUGCACGAAGUCGGAAUUGCUAGUAAUCGUGGAUCAGCAUGCCACGGUGAAUACGUUCCCGGGCCUUGUACACACCGCCCGUCACACCAUGAGAGCCGGGGGGACCCGAAGUCGGUAGUCUAACCGCAAGGAGGACGCCGCCGAAGGUAAAACUGGUGAUUGGGGUGAAGUCGUAACAAGGU